UACGUAGGUGGCAAGCGUUGUCCGGAAUUACUGGGCGUAAAGGGUGCGUAGGCGGAUAAUUAAGUUAGAUGUGAAAGCCCGAAGCUUAACUUCGGGAUUGCAUUUAAAACUGGUAAUCUAGAGUGCAGGAGAGGAAAGCGGAAUUCCUAGUGUAGCGGUGAAAUGCGUAGAUAUUAGGAAGAACAUCAGUGGCGAAGGCGGCUUUCUGGACUGUAACUGACGCUGAGGCACGAAAGCGUGGGGAGCAAAC
rnacentral:rRNA from 1 species